UGGCCCUGACCGAGACUUGGGCAGGUGAGUGCGGGGUCCAGAGAGAAACGGCCUCUGUGGGGAGGAGUGAGGGGCCCGCCCGGUGGGGGCGCAGGACUCAGGGAGCCGCGCCCGGAGGAGGGUCGGGCGGGUCUCAGCCCCUCCUCGCCCCCAGGCUCCCACUCCUUGAGGUAUUUCAGCACCGCUGUGUCGCGGCCCGGCCGCGGGGAGCCCCGGUACAUCGCCGUGGAGUACGUAGACGACACGCAGUUCCUGCGGUUCGACAGCGACGCCGCGAUUCCGAGGAUGGAGCCUCGGGAGCCGUGGGUGGAGCAAGAGGGGCCGCAGUAUUGGGAGAGGACCACAGGAUACGCGAAGGCCAACGCACAGACUGACCGAGUGGCCCUGAGGAACCUGCUCCGCCGCUACAACCAGAGCGAGGCCGGGAAUGAAUGGCUGCGACAUGGGGCCCGACGGACGCCUCCUUCGCGGGUAUCACCAGCACGCGUACGACGGCAAGGAUUACAUCUCCCUGAACGAGGACCUGCGCUCCUGGACCGCGGCGGACACCGUGGCUCAGAUCACCCAGCGCUUCUAUGAGGCAGAGG
rnacentral:sRNA from 1 species